rnacentral:rRNA from 1 species
UGGGGAAUAUUGGGCAAUGGACGCAAGUCUGACCCAGCAACGCCGCGUGAAGGAAGAAGGCUUUCGGGUUGUAAACUUCUUUUAAGAGGGAAGAGUAGAAGACGGUACCUCUUGAAUAAGCCACGGCUAACUACGUGCCAGCAGCCGCGGUAAUACGUAGGUGGCAAGCGUUGUCCGGAUUUACUGGGUGUAAAGGGCGUGCAGCCGGGCCGACAAGUCAGAUGUGAAAUCCGCGGGCUUAACCCGCGAACUGCAUUUGAAACUAUUGGUCUUGAGUGCCGGAGAGGUCAUCGGAAUUCCUUGUGUAGCGGUGAAAUGCGUAGAUAUAAGGAAGAACACCAGUGGCGAAGGCGGAUGACUGGACGGUAACUGACGGUGAGGCGCGAAAGCGUGGGGAGCAAACAGG